CUGCUCUCCAUCCUGAGCUCCUUUCAGGAGGUGUUGAAGGUCAGCAGCUGCAGCAGCAUCGGAUUUAAUCCUUGCAGAGACUCGCAGGAUCUUAGUCACCCCACCAGGAAUCAAACCCAUGCCCCUCACAGUGGAAGUGUGGUCAUAACCAUUGGACCACUGGGGAAUUUCCUGAGCUUCAGAUUUAACUGAUCGUCCUGUAUUUUGCCUGGCAACUUCAGACUGAGGAGAGUGUCUUCCAAUCACCAGAUACUGAGCAAAGUGGGAAUGGAAUGGGUACAUCUGCCAGGCUUGCUUUCCCUCCCGACUCCGAAGCUGGCAUAAUACAAGCCAUUCUCCAGAUGCGAUCC